rnacentral:rRNA from 1 species
GAGUUUGAUCAUGGCUCAGAUUGAACGCUGGCGGCAGGCCUAACACAUGCAAGUCGAGCGGAUGACGGGAGCUUGCUCCUUGAUUCAGCGGCGGACGGGUGAGUAAUGCCUAGGAAUCUGCCUGGUAGUGGGGGACAACGUUUCGAAAGGAACGCUAAUACCGCAUACGUCCUACGGGAGAAAGCAGGGGACCUUCGGGCCUUGCGCUAUCAGAUGAGCCUAGGUCGGAUUAGCUAGUUGGUGGGGUAAUGGCUCACCAAGGCGACGAUCCGUAACUGGUCUGAGAGGAUGAUCAGUCACACUGGAACUGAGACACGGUCCAGACUCCUACGGGAGGCAGCAGUGGGGAAUAUUGGACAAUGGGCAAAGCCUGAUCCAGCCAUGCCGCGUGUGUGAGGAAGGUCUUCGGAUUGUAAAGCACUUUAAGUUGGGAGAAGGGCAGUAAGUUAAUACCUUGCUGUUUUGACGUUACCGACAGAAU